rnacentral:rRNA from 1 species
AUGUGUGUCUAUGCGCAGAUGGCCCUGCAACCACUUAACCCGGUAAUUCAUAUUCACCAUGUGCCAUGUGCAAGUUGUUUUUACUCAGCAUCCAAGAGAGUAACUUUAGAUUGCUUCUCUUUUCAGCAAGAGCUCAAGGAUCCGUAUCUACCUUCUGAAUUAGGUACUGCAAACAAACAGCCAACGAAUUAUUUUUGCAAAUCGUUAACUGCAAGUGACAAGCACGCAGCUGAGAAAGUGUUUCCUCCAUUGGAUUUCACGAUGCAACCUCCAGCACAGGAGUUGUCUGCGAAAGACCUUCAUGGCAAUGAGUAG